CCCUUAGAUGUCCUGGGCCGCACGCGUGCUACACUGACACUUACACCGAGUUUUUCCGGCCCCGAGAGGUGGCUGGUAAUCAGUAAUAGGUGUCGUGAUGGGGAUAGAUCUUUGGAAUUAUUGAUCUUGAACGAGGAAUGCCUAGUAAUCGUAGGUCAUCAGCCUGCGAUGAUUACGUCCCUGCCCUUUGUACACACCGCCCGUCGCUCCUACCGAUUUCGAGUGGUCCGGUGAACCUUUCGGACAGAGAGAGUCUCGUACAAUCUCUGAAAGUCAAGUAAACCACAUCACUUAGAGGAAGGAGAANUCGUAACA
rnacentral:rRNA from 1 species